AUUUAACGCUGGCGGCAGGCCUAACACAUGCAAGUCGAACGAGUGGCGGACGGGUGAGUAAUGUCUGGGAAACUGCCUGAUGGAAGGGGAUAACUACUGGAAACGGUAGCUAAUACCGCAUAACAUCAGAUGUGCAAAGAUGGGCUUCUCUAGUUGGUUGGGUAAAGGCUCCCCUAGGCGACGAGCCCUAGCUGGUCGGAGAGUAUGACCAGCCAGACUGGAACUGCGACACUGUCCAGACUCCUACGGGAGGCAGCAGUGGGGAAUAUUGCACAAUGGGCGCAAGCCUGAUGCAGCCAUGCCGCGUGUAUGAAGAAGGCCUUCGGGUUGUAAAGUACUUUCAGCGGGGAGGCGUUACCCGCAGAAGAAGCACCGUAUAACUCCGUGCCAGCAGCCGCGGUAAUAC
rnacentral:rRNA from 1 species